GUAAAGACGCCAAUAGGAGGAUUGCUAGGCUUGAGAAGAGAUGAAGGACGUGGCAAGCUGCGAUAAGCUUGGGGUAGGCGCACGCGGCCUUUGAUCCCGAGAUUUCCGAAUAGGAAUCCUGUAUGUAAAUACACUCCAUUACAAUGGUAGUGGAGAUCGAACCGUAGGAAUUGAAGCAUCUUAGUACUACGUGGAAAAGAAAUCAAUUGAGAUUUCCCAAGUAGCGGCGAGCGAAAAGGAAACAGCCCAAACUGAAUCUGUUAUGGUAACAUAGUAGAGAUGUGGUGUUUUGGUUAUGAUAUUACGAUCCUAGAACACAGUUGAAGUGAUCUGAAAAGUUCUGGCACAGAGGGUGAUACCCCCGUAGACAAAGUAGUAUAGGAUCUUAUCAUAUCCCGAGUAGUUGUCCUUGGCAGUGGGCAACGAACAUGGAUGAAAGUAGCAUCCGAGGCUAAAUAUUUCUCAAGACCGAUAGUGGACUAGUACCGUGAGGGAAAGCUGAAAAGUACCCCGGAAGGGGGGUGAAAAGUGCAUGAAACCUAUUGGUUACAGACGUGCACGGCAUGGAAGAUGAUUUUUUUAGACUGGAGGUUCUAGCAAUAGAGCUGAAGGUCUGAAUCUCAGAUCAUCAGUGUCGUGUGUUCCGUCUAGAAACACGGGCCAGGGAGCUUGUUGUCAUGGCAAGCCUAAACCUAUCAUGGUGAAGGCGAAGGGAAACCGAGUUCUCGCAACAUUGUGAGGAGAAGCGUGUGAAAGCGCGUUGAGUCAUGACAAUAAGGCUAGAAGCCAGACGAUCUAUUCCUGAGCAAGAUGAAGGUGGGCGAAAGCCCGCUGGAGGUCUGAAGCAAUACUAACGUGCAAAUUGUUUGUGUGACUUGGGAAUAGGGGUCAAAAACCAAUCUAGUCUGGCGCUCGCUAGUUCCAACCGAAGCGUCUCGCAGGGCGUCCUCUAUGGAGAUGGCAUUUCCUGUAGAGCACUGAUAGGACGGUACGGGAAAGAAAUUUCUCGCCAUCCAUUCAAACUCCGAAGGGAUGUGCAUCUAAGAAGUAGGGAGACGGGUUCGUGUGACGUAAGGUUCACGACCGAAAGGGGAUUAACCCAGACUGAAGUUAAGGUCCCCAAAUUUCUACUAAGUGUCAAGCUAAAGGGCGUAUUCACGCCAAGACAGCAGGGAGGUAAGCUCAGAAGCAGCUAUCCUUCAAAAAGUGUGUAACAACUUACCUGCCGAGCGUGGAUGCCCCGAAAAUGGACGGGGCUAAAGUAGAGUACCGAUACUUCGGAUACUUGUUGCAAAAACAAGUCGUGGUAGGUUGGCGUAAUGAUUGGGAAGAAGCAGGGCGGUGAUGUCCUGUGGACCGAUCACUAUUGCAGAUCCUGGUGGCAGUAACAGCAUAGUAGGGUGAGAACCCCUACCACCGCAAGCGCAAGGGUUUCCAGGCAAUGCGCUAUCAGCCUGGAGUUAGUCGAUCCUAAGUAUAACCUCAAAUGAGUUAUGCGAAAGGGAAACUGGUUAAUAUUCCAGUACCUCAUAGGAAGCGCUAUAAUCUAUACGGGAGCUUCAAGAUAAGACAAGUGGAACCGUCGUUUCAUCUAACCGCUCAAGUGAUGGGGAGUGUCGUAAUGACGAGAACCGUCUCGAGGUGGGAGUGGCUCUGCGUUAGCAGAGUUUGUCUGAGUCUUGGAGACCAUGAAAGACCGUGUAGUGAGUUACCUAUGAUGAUCGUACCGAGAACCGACACAGGUGCGCUAGAUUUGAAAUCUAAGGUGCUACGGGUAUACCGUAUGGCGAGGGAACUCGGCAAAAUAGUCCCGUAGCUUAGGUAUAAGGGAUGCCUGCUUUCCUAGUGAGAAACUGGGUCAGCAGGUUACAAUAACAAGGGGGUCCCGACUGUUUAAUAAAAACACAGGCGACUGCUAGUCCGAAAGGAUUUGUAUAGUCGCUGAAUCCUGGCCGGUGCUGGUACCUAAAACUUGGGUACAACUGAGCUAAGGGCCAGUUAACGCCGGGAGUAACUCUGACUCUCUUAAGGUAGCCAAAUGCCUUGUCGGGUAAGUUCCGACGUGCAUGAAUGGAACAACGAGGGCCCCUCUGUCCCCGCCUACAACCCGGUGAAGCCACAUAAGGUGGACGAACAGUCCAUCAUCUUCCAUUGGGGAGAGAAGACCCCGUGGAGUUUUACUGCAGCUUGUGCUUGUGGUAUAGUUGGGAUUGCAUAGCGUAUCUGGGAGCCAUGCUUAAUUUUCUUCGGGAAAUUAGGAAGCGACGAUGUAACACCAGACAAUCUUUGCAGUAUCACUUACCUGGUCUUGACCAGGGACACGUGCAGGUGGGCAGUUCGGCUGGGGCGGCACCCCUUUGAAAAGAUAUCAAAGGGGCCCAAAGUUCAGUUCAAGUGGGUCAGAAAUCCACUGAAGAGGGCAAAGCCAAAAACUGGACUGACUGGAUCUCCAAACGCACGGGAUUCAGAGACGAAAGUCGGGCUUAGCGAUCCAUCGUGUGCCCUCUAUUGGGACAGAAAAAUUACCCCAGGGAUAACAGGCUCGUCGCGGGCGAGAGCUCCUAUCGACCCCGCGGUUUGGUACCUCGAUGUCGGCUUUUCCUAUCCUGGUCCUGCAGCAGGGGCCAAGGGUGAGGCUGCUCGCCUAUUAAAAGGGAACAUGAGCUGGGUUUAGACCGUCGUGAGACAGGUCGGUCUCUGCCUAAUGGAAGCGUGGUUGUCUGAGGGGAAGUUGCCCCGAGUACGAGAGGAACAGGGCAGCGUGGCCACUGGUUUAUCGGUUGUCCGACAGGGCAGGCCGAGCAGCUAAGCCAUUUGGGCUAAGUGCUGAAAGCAUCUAAGCACGAAUCCCAUCCUGAGAAAAGACAACCUUUCGUAAGAUAAAGGCCUGCAGAAGAAGACUGCGUUGAUAGAAUGGAGGUAUAAA
rnacentral:rRNA from 1 species